AUCCAGUUGACGAGUCCCAAAUAAGACGAAGCUGGCGUCCUGGAU
rfam:Schistosoma mansoni strain Puerto Rico chromosome 4, complete genome